rnacentral:rRNA from 1 species
UACGUAGGGUGCAAGCGUUAAUCGGAAUUACUGGGCGUAAAGCGUGCGCAGGCGGUUGUGUAAGACAGAUGUGAAAUCCCCGGGCUCAACCUGGGAACUGCAUUUGUGACUGCACAGCUGGAGUGCGGCAGAGGGGGAUGGAAUUCCGCGUGUAGCAGUGAAAUGCGUAGAUAUGCGGAGGAACACCGAUGGCGAAGGCAAUCCCCUUGGCCUGCACUGACGCUCAUGCACGAAAGCGUGGGGAGCAAACAGG